rnacentral:misc_RNA from 1 species
UGAAUAAUGAAUUAUUUAAAAUCUACAGGAACAAUUUGCCCAUUUCUAUUAUAGUAAAUAUCUCACACAUUCUCUCAACAAUUACAGGAUAAGAAAUCCAGAGACACCAAUUAACCAAAUUUGAAGCAGGCUGCAACCUGAGAAGUGGCAGGAAACUGAUCGCAUCCCCUACGCCUUGUUAGCAAUGUUGUUGGAGAGCCAGUCCAGUCCUUCAUAGAGGCCUUCACCUGAAGUGGCACAUGUGCUCUG